rnacentral:rRNA from 1 species
UAAGUAACCUGCCCUAGACAGGGGGAUAACUGCUGGAAACGGCAGCUAAGACCGCAUAGGUAUGGACACUGCAUGGUGACCAUAUUAAAAGUGCCAAGGCACUGGUAGAGGAUGGACUUAUGGCGCAUUAGCUGGUUGGUGAGGUAACGGCUCACCAAGGCGACGAUGCGUAGCCGACCUGAGAGGGUGACCGGCCACACUGGGACUGAGACACGGCCCAGACUCCUACGGGAGGCAGCAUG